rnacentral:misc_RNA from 1 species
GAAAUGCGAUAAGUAAUGUGAAUUGCAGAAUUCAGUGAAUCAUCGAAUCUUUGAACGCACCUUGCGCUCCUUGGUAUUCCUUGGAGCAUGCCUGUUUGAGUAUCAUGAAAUCUUCAAAGUAAAUCUUUUGUUAACUCAAUUGGUUUCUACUUUGGUAUUGGAGGUCUUUGCAGCUUCACACCUGCUCCUCUUUGUUCAUUAGCUGGAUCUCAGUGUUAUGCUUGGUUCCACUCGGCGUGAUAAGUUAUCUAUCGCUGAGGACACUGUAAAAGGUGGUCAAGGUAAAUGCAGAUGAACCGCUUCUAAUAGUCCAUUGACUUGGACAAUACUUUUAUGAUCUGAUCUCAAAUCAGGUAGGACUACCCGCUGAACUUAGGC